rnacentral:rRNA from 1 species
CCUACGGGAGGCAGCAGUCGAGAAUCAUUCACAAUGGGGGAAACCCUGAUGGUGCGACGCCGCGUGGGGGAAUGAAGGUCUUCGGAUUGUAAACCCCUGUCAUGUGGGAGCAAAUUAAAAAGAUAGUACCACAAGAGGAAGAGAUGGCUAACUCUGUGCCAGCAGCCGCGGGAAUACAGAGGUCUCAAGCGUUGUUCGGAAUCACUGGGCGUAAAGCGUGCGUAGGCGGUUUCGUAAGUCGUGUGUGAAAGGCGCGGGCUCAACCCGCGGACGGCACAUGAUACUGCGAGACUAGAGUAAUGGAGGGGGAACCGGAAUUCUCGGUGUAGCAGUGAAAUGCGUAGAUAUCGAGAGGAACACUCGUGGCGAAGGCGGGUUCCUGGACAUUAACUGACGCUGAGGCACGAAGGCCAGGGGAGCGAAAGGGAUUAGAUACCCUAGUAGUC